GCACCUGUGGUCUAGUGGAAGAAUAGUAUCCUGCCACGGUACAGACCCGAGUUCGAUUCCCGACUGGUGCA
rfam:Ipomoea nil DNA, scaffold: scaffold3400, cultivar: Tokyo-kokei standard.